ensembl:lncRNA
CCGCGCGGGAGUGGAGAGGUGCGAGCAGCCCGGCCCGGGCCGCACGGGGCCCCCAGCGGCGGGAAUCCCCCCCUCGCUGCCUGCGAGCCCCUGCGCCGCCGGACCAGCCUCCCAGGAGCGGCCCGGGGGCCGCGAUCCGCUCUGACGGCACCGGGGGAGGCUGGGCGCAGGCAGGCGCCCUCCCCUGGGACGCAGCGAGAUGCCCAGAUAAGUCCCUGCGCGUCGCCCCAGCCUCUCCAGAUGCCUGGAGAAGAGGGAGACAUGAGGUUGCCUGUGGGGGAAGUUGCCUUUAAAUGGGAGAAACUCCUCCAGCCGGAUGCUUCGAAGGCUGCGUCUGUCACCCCGGAGAAGAUAGGAGCCAGGCCCUCCCGGCUUUGCCACCUCUGCUUCCUUAAUAGGGACAGCCCCAAUUCCUGUCUCGAAAUUCCUACCAUGUUACACCCUCCGGCUCUCCAAAAAGCGCUUCCAGUCCCAUGGGGUUAGGGGCGUUAGAAACAAAAAACCAGGUUUCUGCUACCCUGGCUGCAUACUCGCUAUCAAAUUCCCCCAAGGGAGAGAAAGCAAGCAAACGCCUUAGAGUUAUCUACGAAAUUCACAAAAAGUCACUUCUUUGUAAAUUAUUAUGUGCCAGGAAAACAUCAAGAGAAAUAGUCUCAAGAACACAGGCAAAGGAAUCUGGGAGAAGGAAUAUGGGUCUUCAAAACAAAUGCUGUAGUGCUAUAGGCAGUAAAUCUCAUUAACGGGACUUUGUGUCAAGGCAGAAACCAGUAUAGUGACAAUAAUAAUCCCAUUUAUUUACAUAGCGCCAAAUAUAUCGUUGCCACUUUCCGAUAAAACAAAGGCAGAUUCCUCAAUGGCAGAGGGCGGAUCGAAGGACCCAAUCAGUUUCUUCCAUCCCUAACUUCUGUGAAUCUCAGAUAAAUAUACCACUUUGGAGAGAGGGGAGUGGGGGAAUCUCCGAUCUCCAUUAGACACUCAGCUCCAAGUUAGAGACAACAAGCGUUUCCCCUUCAGGCCCCAGAGGAAGGAAAUCAAUGCAUCUGCAGAGAAAGAAGAAGCCAUUGAGUUGUUUUGAAUGAAAAUGUGAUUGGGUUGUGGGGUUUUUUAGAGGAUUGAUCUAAAAGGAGAGUGAGGAGACAAGAAAGGGAGACAGAAGACAUUGGCCUGCUGCUGUCUGACUGGCAGAUUCCAGUUAACACCUUAUCAGCAGAGCAGCAGGCAGCAGCAAAUCCUCGCCCGCUGAAGCUACACAGCGAAAGGAAGAGGGGAGGGUGUUCUGUAACCAGGGACGACAACAGCAACACUCCACAGAGCUACCGGGAGGAUAGAGAGAGAGACACACACACAAUAACCUUCCUUCCCAGGCUGUGCAAGCAAGGGCAGGGGAGGAAAAACAAAUCCACCUGCAGUGUUUCAUUUUUUAUGAAGAGAAACCAUGACUGAAAUGUAACCACAGCUCUGGUCGCUGUAAAAAAACCGAACCCCAAAGCCCUCUCCCCAAGUGUAAUGUAGCAAUUCUGUUGGUUAGCGUUAUUCUUCAAUUGAAGAGUGGGGUAAACUCCUCCAGGACUGAAAUCCCAUCUCCCAGAAGGUGGGAGCACCACUAAAACAAAAGCAAUUCUUCCCUCUCCCCCUUACUCCAUUGCUGCUGCUGCUUUUGUGUUUUUUAAAGAAACAUUGUUCUAGGAAGGAGAGGAGAUUGGAAGAAGAACCCGAGGUGAUUUUGAAUUGUUUUUAAAG